CGGGGGCGGCGGUAAAUCGUGAAACGUCCGCUGGUGUCCUUUAGGGCGUCCUUCCAAACUCUCCUCUGUGCCGCGAGCCAGGACCCCGACCUCUGGCUCCGCCUGUCCCCACACCCGGCGGCCCCCCCGCACUCACCUCUUUCCUUGCGGUGUCUCUUUCGCAACGCACAGUGGCACAGAGGAGGAACAGGCUGCCGGGCAGACCACUGCCGGCGGCAGCACCGCCUAGGUCGGAU
rnacentral:lncRNA from 1 species